UGACGACCGGCGCACGGGUGCGUAACGCGUAUGCAACCUACCUUCUACAGGGGGAUAGUCAAUAGAAAUGUUGAAUAAUACCCCAUACGAUCUUUGAGUGGCAUUACUUGAAGAGGAAAGCUUCGGCGGUAGAAGAUGGGCAUGCGUCCUAUUAGUUAGUUGGUGAGGUAACGGCUCACCAAGACUACGAUAGGUAGGGGCCCUGAGAGGGGGAUCCCCCACACUGGUACUGAGACACGGACCAGACUCCUACGGGAGGCAGCAGUGAGGAAUAUUGGACAAUGGAGGGAACUCUGAUCCAGCCAUGCCGCGUGCAGGAAGACUGCCCUAUGGGUUGUAAACUGCUUUUAUACAGGAAGAAACCUACUUACGUGUAAGUAGCUGACGGUACUGUAAGAAUAAGGAUCGGCUAACUCCGUGCCAGCAGCCGCGGUAAUACGGAGGAUCCAAGCGUUAUCCGGAAUCAUUGGGUUUAAAGGGUCCGUAGGUGGUUUAUUCAGUCAGAGGUGAAAUCCCAUAGCUUAACUAUGGAACUGCCUUUGAUACUGAUAGACUUGAGUUAUUGUGAAGUGGUUAGAAUGUGUAGUGUAGCGGUGAAAUGCAUAGAUAUUACACAGAAUACCGAUUGCGAAGGCAGAUCACUAACAAUAUACUGACACUGAGGGACGAAAGCGUGGGUAGCGAACAGGAUUAGAUACCCC
rnacentral:rRNA from 1 species